rnacentral:rRNA from 1 species
AGAGUUUGAUCCUGGCUCAGAUUGAACGCUGGCGGCAGGCCUAACACAUGCAAGUCGAGCGGUAGCACAGAGAGCUUGCUCUCGGGUGACGAGCGGCGGACGGGUGAGUAAUGUCUGGGAAACUGCCUGAUGGAGGGGGAUAACUACUGGAAACGGUAGCUAAUACCGCAUAACGUCGCAAGACCAAAGUGGGGGACCUUCGGGCCUCAUGCCAUCAGAUGUGCCCAGAUGGGAUUAGCUAGUAGGUGGGGUAAUGGCUCACCUAGGCGACGAUCCCUAGCUGGUCUGAGAGGAUGACCAGCCACACUGGAACUGAGACACGGUCCAGACUCCUACGGGAGGCAGCAGUGGGGAAUAUUGCACAAUGGGCGCAAGCCUGAUGCAGCCAUGCCGCGUGUAUGAAGAAGGCCUUCGGGUUGUAAAGUACUUUCAGCGAGGAGGAAGGCGUUAAGGUUAAUAACCUUGGCGAUUGACGUUACUCGCAGAAGAAGCACCGGCUAACUCCGUGCCAGCAGCCGCGGUAAUACGGAGGGUGCAAGCGUUAAUCGGAAUUACUGGGCGUAAAGCGCACGCAGGCGGUCUGUCAAGUCGGAUGUGAAAUCCCCGGGCUCAACCUGGGAACUGCAUUCGAAACUGGCAGGCUAGAGUCUUGUAGAGGGGGGUAGAAUUCCAGGUGUAGCGGUGAAAUGCGUAGAGAUCUGGAGGAAUACCGGUGGCGAAGGCGGCCCCCUGGACAAAGACUGACGCUCAGGUGCGAAAGCGUGGGGAGCAAACAGGAUUAGAUACCCUGGUAGUCCACGCCGUAAACGAUGUCGACUUGGAGGUUGUGCCCUUGAGGCGUGGCUUCCGGAGCUAACGCGUUAAGUCGACCGCCUGGGGAGUACGGCCGCAAGGUUAAAACUCAAAUGAAUUGACGGGGGCCCGCACAAGCGGUGGAGCAUGUGGUUUAAUUCGAUGCAACGCGAAGAACCUUACCUACUCUUGACAUCCAGAGAACUUAGCAGAGAUGCUUUGGUGCCUUCGGGAACUCUGAGACAGGUGCUGCAUGGCUGUCGUCAGCUCGUGUUGUGAAAUGUUGGGUUAAGUCCCGCAACGAGCGCAACCCUUAUCCUUUGUUGCCAGCGGUCCGGCCGGGAACUCAAAGGAGACUGCCAGUGAUAAACUGGAGGAAGGUGGGGAUGACGUCAAGUCAUCAUGGCCCUUACGAGUAGGGCUACACACGUGCUACAAUGGCAUAUACAAAGAGAAGCGACCUCGCGAGAGCAAGCGGACCUCAUAAAGUAUGUCGUAGUCCGGAUUGGAGUCUGCAACUCGACUCCAUGAAGUCGGAAUCGCUAGUAAUCGUAGAUCAGAAUGCUACGGUGAAUACGUUCCCGGGCCUUGUACACACCGCCCGUCACACCAUGGGAGUGGGUUGCAAAAGAAGUAGGUAGCUUAACCUUCGGGAGGGCGCUUACCACUUUGUGAUUCAUGACUGGGGUGAAGUCGUAACAAGGUAACCGUA